UCAGCAGCCGCGGUAAUACGUAGGGUGCAAGCGUUAAUCGGAAUUACUGGGCGUAAAGCGUGCGCAGGCGGUUUUGUAAGACAGAGGUGAAAUCCCCGGGCUCAACCUGGGAACUGCCUUUGUGACUGCAAGGCUGGAGUGCGGCAGAGGGGGAUGGAAUUCCGCGUGUAGCAGUGAAAUGCGUAGAUAUGCGGAGGAACACCGAUGGCGAAGGCAAUCCCCUGGGCCUGCACUGACGCUCAUGCACGAAAGCGUGGGGAGCAAACAGGAUUAGAUACCCUGGUAGUCCACGCCCUAUAACGAUGUCAACUGGUUGUUGGGUCUUCACUGA
rnacentral:rRNA from 1 species